rnacentral:rRNA from 1 species
CUGAUCAACGCUAAUCGGAUCAGGGUUAGUCGGGUCCUAAGGCUCAGCCGAACGGCGAGGCCGAUGGCAGAACCGGUUAAUAUUCCGGUACUACCUCAAGGAGUGACGUGGAGACGGAGCAGUGACAGUGCCGCGGACUGACGGAAUAGUCCGUUAAAGGGUGUAGAUGUUGAUUCCUGCAGGCAAAUCCGCAGGAAGAGUCGAACCUGAUAGUAUGGAGCGUCCUUCGGGACAAUCCAAUAGUGCACGUAAGCAUACUCCCGAGAAAAUCCGCUAAACUUAAUCCUUGUGGUACCCGUACCGCAAACGGACACACGUAGUCGGGUUGAAUAUACUAAGGCGCUUGAGUGAUUCACGGUUAAGGAACUAGGCAAACUGACCCUGUAACUUCGGGAUAAAGGGUCCUCAGGGUGACUUGAGGCGCAGAGAAUCGGUCCAGGCAACUGUUUAACAAAAACACAGGGCUGUGCAAAAUAGAAAUAUGAAGUAUACAGCCUGACACCUGCCCGGUGCUGGAAGGUUAAGAGGAGAUGUCAUCGCAAGAGAAGCAUUGAAUUGAAGCCCCAGUAAACGGCGGCCGUAACUAUAACGGUCCUAAGGUAGCGAAAUUCCUUGUCGGGUAAGUUCCGACCUGCACGAAUGGUGUAAUGAUCUGGACGCUGUCUCAACCGUGAGCUCAGUGAAAUUGUAGUAUCGGUGAAGAUGCCGAUUACCCGCGAUGGGACGAAAAGACCCCGUGAACCUUUACUAUAGCUUAACAUUGAAUUUGGGUAAUUGAUGUGUAGGAUAGGCCGGAGGCUUCGAAGCAGGUACGCCAGUAUUUGUGGAGCCGCUGUUGAAAUACGGCCCUUUGAUUAUUUGAGUUCUAACCCGCGGCUGCGGGGACACUGUUUGGUGGGUAGUUUGACUGGGGUGGUCGCCUCCAAAAGCGUAACGGAGGCUUCUAAAGGUGCCCUCACGACGAUUGGUAACCGUCGGCAGAGUGUAAUGGCAUAAGGGCGCUUGACUGGGAGACUAACAAGUCGAUCAGGUAGGAAACUAGAGCAUAGUGAUCCGGUGUUUCUGUAUGGAAAGGACAUCGCUCAAAGGAUAAAAGGUACUCCGGGGAUAACAGGCUGAUCCCUCCCA